UCCGUUGUUCCACGAGUUUGUGCUUAUUAAGAGUCGCUCUAUCCCGCAGUCUCGUCUUGGCCGUGUGGAUAACCGUUAUGGUUGUCCUUUCACAUCCCGCCAGGAUACUGCUCGUAAUGACGGGCCUUUUCGUGGUGGCCCCGCUGCGGGUGGGGCUGAGCAAGUCUGUUUUGCCUUCAAUAACGGAAACUGCAGAUAUGCCAUCUGUCCAGCCGGAAGAAGACACAUCUGUCUCAUUUGGGAUGAGCAACGCCAUGGGAAAUUUAAUUGCCCAAGGCGCCGUGCCCCUAAACCCACCAAUCCCAUUGGUGCCUCAGACGCCGUUGCGCCGUGAGAUCUUCUUUUGCAUCUCGCUGCGUCCCGGCUGGUAGAUUAUUCACUCGUCGAAUUAUUAAUCUCCUCCCACUUUGUUCGCCUACUGGUAACAUUCAACUAAACGCCGAUUUCACGGGUGAUCUUGAUUGGUGGCGCAUGUAUUUGCCAAAAUGGAAUGGCACGACAUCGUUUCUCUGUACUGACUGGAUAUCGGCGGAUGUUAUAAAUUUAUACACUGAUGCAUCAGCGUCUAUUGGUUUUGGGGCAUUCUUUAAUGGUCGAUGGUUCUGUGCACGUUGGCCUCAACGUAUUCUCACUAAUACACUUUGUAUUCAAGUUUUGGAAUUGUUUCCUAUUUUACUCGCUUGUGUUAUAUGGGGAUCGUGUUUUCAUUGCCGCUUUUGGCACCAUGCGCCGCCGUAGAACCCGAUCCCAUUCCCAACAUGUACGACGAAACUGAAUUGAUUCUCCAUACAAAAAGAAUACGGUCAUACCCGUUACGGGAGGCAGACUGCACCGCAUCAUUAAGGGGAUCCCUAUGAGAUGAAAAAAGUAUUGCAGUAUAAAAUCCAGCCUUGAACGCACCCGGAACACCACGUGUUCGACCGCCAAAUCUGACGAACUGAAAUCCACAAACGAUUCCGUGCUAAUAUUUUCUCCAAAUAGCUGAUAGCGGAGGGAAAUGCGGAUUCUGGGAUACGACUGACGUUCCGAAUAGCUGGUCGAAAUUUGAUACAAAAGCCACCGUCAUGCGUAUUGCAAAGAGAUGCUCGCUAUCCUUGCAAGGGCCAAGCUGAUAGUAGCCAACGCCAUCAGCAAGACGAAUGAAAUCGGGAGUCUCAUUGUCUUUAGGAUUGUUAAUUCC